GCUCAGAACGAACGCUGGUGGUAUGCUUAAUACAUGCAAGUCGAACGAAGAAAUCCCUUCGGGGAGAGUAAAAGUGGCGAACGGGUGAGUAAUACAUAGAUAAUCUGCCCUUAAGUGGGGAAUAACUUAUCGAAAGAUGAGCUAAUACCGCAUAAGACCACAAUACCUGCGGGUGUAGGGGUUAAAGGUUUACCUUUUGGGUAAAUCGCUGAAGGAUGAGUCUGUGUCCGAUUAGCUUGAUGGUAGGGUAAAAGCCUACCAUGGCGACGAUCGGUAGCUGGUCUAAGAGGAUGAUCAGCCACACUGGAACUGAGACACGGUCCAGACUCCUACGGGAGGCAGCAGUAGGGAAUAUUGGUCAAUGGGGGAAACCCUGAACCAGCGAUACCAUGUGUGCGAUGAAGGCCUUAGGGUCGUAAAGCACUGUCGCAUGAGACGAUAAUGACGGUAACAUGCAAGAAAGGACCGGCCAAUUUCGUGCCAGCAGCCGCGGUAAUACGAGAGGUCCUAGCGUUGUUCGGAAUUACUGGGCGUAAAGCGGAUGUAGGUGGGUGAUCAAGUCAGAUGUGAAAUCCUGAAGCUUAACUUCAGAACUGCAUUUGAAACUGUUCAUCUUGAGUACUUGAGAGGGUAGUAGAAUUCCUGGUGUAGUGGUGGAAUAUGUAGAUAUCAGGAGGAAUACCGGUGGCGAAGGCGGCUACCUGGCAAGAUACUGACACUCAGAUCCGAAAGCGUGGGGAGCAAACAGGAUUAGAUACCCUGGUAGUCCACGCCGUAAACGAUGAACACUUGGUGUUGGAGGUAUUGACCCCUUCAGUGCCGGAGCUAACGCGUUAAGUGUUCCGCCUGGGGAGUACGGUCGCAAGAUUAAAACUCAAAGAAAUUGACGGGAGCUCGCACAAGCGGUGGAGCAUGUGGUUUAAUUCGAUGCAACGCGAAGAACCUUACCUGGGUUUAAAGUCCCAUUGACCGCCAUAGAGAUAUGGCUUUCCUUCGGGACAAUGGUGACAGGUGCUGCAUGGCUGUCGUCAGCUCGUGUCGUGAGAUGUGGGUUAAGUCCCGCAACGAGCGCAACCCUUGCCUUUAGUUGCCAGCAUUUAGUUGGGCACUCUAAAGGGACUGCCGACGUUAAGUCGGAGGAAGGUGGGGAUGACGUCAAGUCCUCAUGGCCUUUAUGUCCAGGGCUACACACGUGCUACAAUGGUCAGUACAAAGGGUUUGCUAAUCCGUGAGGACAAGCUAAUCCCAAAAAACUGAUCUCAGUUCGGAUUGAAGUCUGCAACUCGACUUCAUGAAGUUGGAAUCGCUAGUAAUCGCAUAACAGCAUGAUGCGGUGAAUACGUUCCCGGGCUUUGUACACACCGCCCGUCACACCAUGAAAGUUGGUGGUACCAGAUGUCGCUGAGCUAACUUUUAGAGGCAAGCGCCCAAGGUAACGCUGAUGAUUGGGGUGAAGUCGUAACAAGGUAGCCGUAGGGGAACCUGUGGCU
rnacentral:rRNA from 2 species